rnacentral:misc_RNA from 1 species
UUAGAAAGAUAACAGAUGGAAAUAUAUAUAUAUAUAUAACAUAAAUUAUAUUAAUAGUAGUCACCACUGUUUUUUGACAGUUUUAAAAAUCACAAGCCUAAGCAGAAAUCCACCAAAUUGAUAGUAGUUCCAAAAUCAAAACACGAAUUUAUAUUGACAGUAAUGCCAAAAUCAAAUUGACUUGUGUCCAAAAUCAAACCAAUAAUUCACAUAGCAAGUGGGGCCUACCAUUGAAAUAGGUACAUUAUCAGAUCUCAUUACAUAAAGUAUUGGUGGCUCAUUAGAGGGAAUGAAAGCACAACUAAUUCACAUGUUCAACCUACAGGAUGCCAUUAAUUGAUAGAAACCAACAAGAACACCAAAGUUAAUUUAUAUGCUAAAAAAUGACACACAAUAACUAUUAUUUUUUCUACUCAAACCAAAGUCAACCAGAAAAUGGCACAUAAAAGUGAAAAAUUUUCCAAGAUCAUGUCCAUAGAUAUUAUGUGAGGCACAGACAAUCAAAAUACUUUGUAUUUGUGCCAAUACUGCAGCUUAGAAAAUGCAACCAAAAUCCACAUCCCACGAAAUUCCACAACAAAGAAAAGAUCCCAUCACUUGUUUGAGCUCCAAUGUGUAGUUGCUAUGUUCAACCAAAUAUUGUAAUAAAUAUGGAAUUGGAAAACAACAAAAAAUAUCACUAUUUAAGAAAAUCUUUCUGCAGCAUCACUGGUUAAAGGAAAUAAAAUGUCUCCUGGCUACAGAGAAAUGCAUACGAAUAACCCUGUGCAAGGAAGGGGAAAAAACAAUUUCCUUAUUUCAGCAUUUCUCAGGACUAAUAAACAGUGUUAGUGCUCAACUGCAUACUGGAAUACCCAUGCCCAUCUCAACAGCAUGAAGUCAUGUUUUGA